rnacentral:rRNA from 1 species
AUGAACGCUGGCGGCGUGCCUAAUACAUGCAAGUCGAGCGAACGGACGAGAAGCUUGCUUCUCUGAUGUUAGCGGCGGACGGGUGAGUAACACGUGGAUAACCUACCUAUAAGACUGGGAUAACUUCGGGAAACCGGAGCUAAUACCGGAUAAUAUUUUGAACCGCAUGGGUCAAAAGUGAAAGACGGUCUUGCUGUCACUUAUAGAUGGAUCCGCGCUGCAUUAGCUAGUUGGUAAGGUAACGGCUUACCAAGGCAACGAUGCAUAGCCGACCUGAGAGGGUGAUCGGCCACACUGGAACUGAGACACGGUCCAGACUCCUACGGGAGGCAGCAGUAGGGAAUCUUCCGCAAUGGGCGAAAGCCUGACGGAGCAACGCCGCGUGAGUGAUGAAGGUCUUCGGAUCGUAAAACUCUGUUAUUAGGGAAGAACAUAUGUGUAAGUAACUGUGCACAUCUUGACGGUACCUAAUCAGAAAGCCACGGCUAACUACGUG